rnacentral:rRNA from 1 species
CAGUCGCCGCGGGAAUACGUAGGUGGCAAGCGUUGUCCGGAAUUAUUGGGCGUAAAGGGCUCGCAGGCGGUUUCUUAAGUCUGAUGUGAAGGCCCCCGGCUCAACCGGGGAAGGUCAUUGGAAACUGGGAAACUUGAGUGCAGAAGAGGAGAGUGGAAUUCCACGUGUAGCGGUGAAAUGCGUAGAGAUGUGGAGGAACACCAGUGGCGAAGGCGACUCUCUGGUCUGUAACUGACGCUGGGGAGCGAAAGCGUGGGGAGCGAACAGGAUUAGAUACCCGCGUAGUCCCUGUCUCUUAUAC